AGAUGUGAUGAUUGGGAUUGAGGAUUGCAACGAACCCUUCGGGGCUACCUGUCUGAUCUCUGAGAGUUGCUCUGGUGCUGAAAGCUUGCUUAUGGUAUCAAAGUUGACGUUCAAUAGGUUAGAACGGGAUAAGUUCGUUAAGGAUGUUGACGUAAUGGCUUUAAACGA
rnacentral:rRNA from 1 species